UGUCAUAGUAACUCAAUGCAGUCUAUAAUUUACCAGUCAGUAAAAUUUGCCUUGGCCAAGCCUUUUGGGAAGCCUUUGCCUUAACAGUUCAUAUUAUUCAUCUGUCUUCUGCAAGUUACAUAAAGAGUAUUGAAAAAUAAUGAACUUCUGCCUUCUGAGAGAGGAAGGAGCUAGAAGAUUUCCAUUGUAUUCUUCGAAAAAGGAGGCAAUGGCGUUAAGAACAUCCAAGCUGAAGAGUUUGGGGGAAGAUGAGUAAUACCUGAGAUAAAACACACAGUACCUAGUAAAUGUUCAAAAUGAUCACCAUCCUUAUGACCUUCUAGGUGAGCACUUCUGAUAAAAUGAUUCAGUAAGGGAGGGUGCCAUAUUAUUGACUAACAGUUUCAGUUAUCAACUGAUUUUAUUUAUCUGUGGCAAUGCUGACU